GACGAACGCUGGCGGCGUGCUUAACACAUGCAAGUCGAACGGAAAGGCCCUGCUUUUGGGGGGUGCUCGAGUGGCGAACGGGUGAGUAACACGUGAGUAACCUGCACUUGACUUUGGGAUAACUUCAGGAAACUGGGGCUAAUACCGGAUAGGAUCUCCUGCUGCAUGGUGGGGGUUGGAAAGUUUCGGCGGUUGGGGAUGGACUCGCGGCUUAUCAGCUUGUUGGUGGGGUAGUGGCUUACCAAGGCUUUGACGGGUAGCCGGCCUGAGAGGGUGACCGGCCACAUUGGGACUGAGAUACGGCCCAGACUCCUACGGGAGGCAGCAGUGGGGAAUAUUGCACAAUGGGCGGAAGCCUGAUGCAGCAACGCCGCGUGCGGGAUGACGGCCUUCGGGUUGUAAACCGCUUUCGCCUGUGACGAAGCGUGAGUGACGGUAAUGGGUAAAGAAGCACCGGCUAACUACGUG
rnacentral:rRNA from 1 species